ACGGAGGAUGCAAGUGUUAUCCGGAAUCACUGGGCGUAAAGCGUGCGUAGGUGGUUUGUUAAGUCUGAUGUGAAAGCCCUGGGCUCAACCUGGGAACGGCAUUGGAUACUGGCUUACUAGAGUGCGGUAGAGGGGUGUGGAAUUCCCGGUGUAGCAGUGAAAUGCGUAGAUAUCGGGAGGAACAUCUGUGGCGAAGGCGACACCCUGGACCAGCACUGACACUGAGGCACGAAAGCGUGGGGAGCAAACAGGA
rnacentral:rRNA from 1 species